ACAUUCAAUUUCUUUAUUAAUUUUUAAUAAAUAAUUUAUAUUAAAUAUAAAAAUAUAUUUAUAAAAAAAAAAGACGACAAGACCCUAUUAAAUUUUACUUAUAGUUUAGCUGGGGAAGCUUUUUAAUUAAAAUUUUUUAAAUUUAAUAAAUAAAAAUCUAAUAAAAUUAAAAUUUUAAUAAAUUACUAUAGGGAUAACAGCAUUAUAUUUUUUUAAAGUUCAUAUUAAAAAAAAAAAUUGUGACCUCGAUGUUGAAUUAUAUUUUCUAUAUUUAAUGCAAUAAUUAUAAAAGUAGAUCUGUUCGAUCUUUAAAAUAUUACAUGAUUUGAGUUCAAACCGGUGUAAACCAGGUUGGUUYCUAUCUUUUUAUAUAUUUUUCUAGUACGAAAGGACAAAAAAAUUUUUAUUUCAAUAAAUUAGCAAAUAAAUGCAUUAGAUUUAGAAUCUAAAUAUAUUUAAUAAUU
rnacentral:misc_RNA from 1 species